rnacentral:rRNA from 1 species
AGUGAACGCUGGCGGUAGGCCUAACACAUGCAAGUCGAACGGCAGCACAGUAAGAGCUUGCUCUUACGGGUGGCGAGUGGCGGACGGGUGAGGAAUACAUCGGAAUCUACUUUUUCGUGGGGGAUAACGUAGGGAAACUUACGCUAAUACCGCAUACGACCUACGGGUGAAAGCAGGGGAUCUUCGGACCUUGCGCGAUUGAUUGAGCCGAUGUCGGAUUAGCUAGUUGGCGGGGUAAAGGCCCACCAAGGCGACGAUCCGUAGCUGGUCUGAGAGGAUGAUCAGCCACACUGGAACUGAGACACGGUCCAGACUCCUACGGGAGGCAGCAGUGGGGAAUAUUCGGCAAUGGGCGCAAGCCUGAUCCAGCCAUGCCGCGUGAGUGAAGAAGGCCUUCGGGUUGUAAAGCCCUUUUGUUGGGGAAGAAAAGCAGCGGAUUAAUCCCCCGCUGUUCUGACGGUACCCAAAGAGUAAGCACCGGCUAACUUCGUG